rnacentral:rRNA from 1 species
CCUACGGGAGGCUGCAGUGGGGAAUCUUGGGCAAUGGGCGAAAGCCUGACCCAGCCAUGCCGCGUGAGUGAUGAAGGCCUUCGGGUCGUAAAGCUCUGUGGGAAGGGACGAAAACCUACGGGAAUAAUACCCCGUAGCUUGACGGUACCUUCUUAGCAAGCACCGGCUAACUCCGUGCCAGCAGCCGCGGUAAUACGGAGGGUGCAAACGUUGCUCGGAAUUAUUGGGCGUAAAGCGCGCGUAGGUGGUCUGGUAAGUCGGAUGUGAAAGCCCUUGGCUUAACCAAGGAAGUGCAUCCGAGACUGCUAGGCUUGAGUACGAAAGAGGGUUUUGGAAUUCUCGGUGUAGAGGUGAAAUUCGUAGAUAUCGAGAGGAACACCAGUGGCGAAAGCGAAAACCUGGGUCGAUACUGACACUAAUGCGCGAAAGCGUGGGGAGCAAACAGGAUUAGAUACCCCAGUAGUC